rnacentral:rRNA from 1 species
UACGGAGGGUGCGAGCGUUGUCCGGAAUCACUGGGCGUAAAGGGCGCGUAGGCGGCCCUUCUUGUCGCGUGUGAAAGCCCCGGGCUCAACCUGGGAAUGGCGCGCGAGACGGGGGGGCUGGAGUUCGGGAGAGGAGCGUGGAAUUCCCAGUGUAGAGGUGAAAUUCGUAGAUAUUGGGAAGAACACCGGUGGCGAAGGCGGCGCUCUGGACCGAGACUGACGCUGAGGCGCGAAAGCGUGGGGAGCAAACAGG